UACGUAGGGUGCAGGCGUUAAUCGGAAUUACUGGGCGUAAAGCGUGCGCAGGCGGUUAUGUAAGACAGAUGUGAAAUGCCCGGGCUUAACCUGGGAACUGCAUUUGUGACUGCAUGGCUAGAGUGUGUCAGAGGGGGGUAGAAUUCCACGUGUAGCAGUGAAAUGCGUAGAUAUGUGGAGGAAUACCGAUGGCGAAGGCAGCCCCCUGGGCCUAUACUGACGCUCAUGCACGAAAGCGUGGGGAGCAAACAGG
rnacentral:rRNA from 1 species